rnacentral:lncRNA from 1 species
CAAGGAGAUGCCCUCCCCACUCCUGGCUCUUCUGCUCCACCUUGUCCUGCAGAAGAAAGAGCCAGGGGAGUGAGGGGCAGGAUUCAGGAUUCUGAGCCCAAUGAGAGGCAAGAGAGCCUGCUUAGUGCUCCCCUGGUCACCGUGAGGCAACUGCACUGACUGCACAGAGGGUGGUGGAGGGAGAAGCAGCACCAGGGCCUGCCCCAAACCCUGGGUUUCCUCCCAUGCCCAGUUCAGUGACUACUCUGCCUUGUGGUCCAAGCUGCCUCCUGAGCUGCCUCCCCACUGCUCCAGUCUCUUGCCCCAAAAUCAAUCUCCCUUACAAACCAUUCCCCCACAGUGUAGCCCAGGGUCCUGACUAAAGCACCACCCUCAUCCAGAAAGUUCCUGAUCACCUCAGAGUGCAGAGUGCAAGGUGGCCAUGUGCCAGAUCUCUGCUUUCUGGCCUCAUUGCCUGCCUGUCUCUGCAGCUCCCUGAGACCCCAAGCUUCUCUAGGUCGACCACACCUUUUGCACAUGCUCCUCCUAUGUCCACGCUGCUCUAAUGUCUCCAUCAUAAGAUAGCAAAACAUCACGCCACUCCACUGGUCCCCAGGAACACACAACCCUCAAGUCCCCAGCCACCAUACUGGCAGUCCACCAUCCUGGGUCACCAACUACAAAGAAGCUCACACCAGCACAGGUGGAAA